AAUGAACGCUGGCGGCGUGCCUAAUACAUGCAAGUCGAGCGGCAGCACAGUAAGCUUUUGCCCUUACGGUUGGCGGCGGACGGGCGGGUAACGCGUGGAUCAGCUUCCUCUUUUUCGGGGAGGACAUCGGGGGACAACUUCUGCUACUGCAUCAUACGUUCAACGGCUGGAAUCAAGGGUGAUUGAGGCAUUUGCCGAAUGCAUUAGCCGACGUCGGAUUAGCUAGUUGGCGGGGUAAAGGCACACCAAGGCGACGAUACGUAGCUGGUCUGAGAGGAUGAUCAGCCACACUGGAACUGAGACACGGUCCAGACUCCUACGGGAGGCAGCAGUAGGGAAUCUUGGACAAUGGGCGAAAGCCUGAUCCAGCCAUGCCGCGUGAGUGAAGAAGGCCUUCGGAUUGUAAAGCUCUUUUGUUGGGGAAGAAAAGCAGCGGGUUUAUACCCCGCUGUUCUGACGGUACCCAAACAAUAAGCACCGGCUAACUUCGUG
rnacentral:rRNA from 1 species